rnacentral:rRNA from 2 species
CUGAUUAGAAGCUUGCUUCUAUGACGUUAGCGGCGGACGGGUGAGUAACACGUGGGCAACCUGCCUGUAAGACUGGGAUAACUUCGGGAAACCGAAGCUAAUACCGGAUAGGAUCUUCUCCUUCAUGGGAGAUGAUUGAAAGAUGGUUUCGGCUAUCACUUACAGAUGGGCCCGCGGUGCAUUAGCUAGUUGGUGAGGUAACGGCUCACCAAGGCCACGAUGCAUAGCCGACCUGAGAGGGUGAUCGGCCACACUGGGACUGAGACACGGCCCAGACUCCUACGGGAGGCAGCAGUAGGGAAUCUUCCGCAAUGGACGAAAGUCUGACGGAGCAACGCCGCGUGAGUGAUGAAGGCUUUCGGGUCGUAAAACUCUGUUGUUAGGGAAGAACAAGUACAAGAGUAACUGCUUGUACCUUGACGGUACCUAACCAGAAAGCCACGGCUAACUACGUGCCAGCAGCCGCGGUAAUACGUAGGUGGCAAGCGUUAUCCGGAAUUAUUGGGCGUAAAGCGCGCGCAGGCGGUUUCUUAAGUCUGAUGUGAAAGCCCACGGCUCAACCGUGGAGGGUCAUUGGAAACUGGGGAACUUGAGUGCAGAAGAGAAAAGCGGAAUUCCACGUGUAGCGGUGAAAUGCGUA